rnacentral:rRNA from 1 species
CCUACGGGGGGCAUCCGUGAUUCAUAUUUUUCACUUUUCUCUCUCCUUAACCAGCCAAGUCGCGUGAGGGAAGACGGUCCUAUGGAUUGUAAACCUCUUUUGUCGGGGAGCAAAAGACGCCACGCGUGGCGUUCCGAGAGUACCCGAAGAAAAAGCAUCGGCUAACUCCGUGCCAGCAGCCGCGGUAAUACGGAGGAUGCGAGCGUUAUCCGGAUUUAUUGGGUUUAAAGGGUGCGCAGGCGGAAGAUCAAGUCAGCGGUAAAAUUGAGAGGCUCAACCUCUUCGAGCCGUUGAAACUGGUUUUC